rnacentral:rRNA from 1 species
CCUACGGGAGGCAGCAGUGGGGAAUAUUGGGCAAUGGGCGAAAGCCUGACCCAGCAACGCCGCGUGAAGGAAGAAGGCUCUCGGGUUGUAAACUUCUUUUGACAGGGAAGAGCAGAAGACGGUACCUGUCGAAUAAGCCAUGGCUAACUACGUGCCAGCAGCAGCGGUAAUACGGAGGUGGCAAGCGUUGUCCGGAUUUACUGGGUGUAAAGGGCGUGUAGCCGGGCUGACAAGUCAGAUGUGAAAUCCGGGGGCUCAACCCCCGAACUGCAUUUGAAACUGUUGGUCUUGAGUAUCGGAGAGGCAGGCGGAAUUCCUAGUGUAGCGGUGAAAUGCGUAGAUAUUAGGAGGAACACCAGUGGCGAAGGCAGCCUGCUGGACGACAACUGACGGUGAGGCGCGAAAGCGUGGGGAGCAAACAGGAUUAGAUACCCUAGUAGUC